AUGCUUCAUUUCGCUUCGAUCCAGGGCUGCCUGGUGAGCUGCCUGUUCCUGUUCCUGGUGGAGGAGGCGGGGCUUGAUGUCAACUCGGAGUCAAAGGCAGGUGUGACACCCAUGGUCCUCGCCGCACUCCAGGGAAAUGUCGAGGUUACGAGGUACCUUCUUGAUCAUGGCGGUGACCCUGCGAUGCCCGAUGAGAGGGGCUCCACGCCGCUGCACAAUGCAGCAGCGGCAGGGCACUGCGAGGCUGUAAGGCUAUUGCUGUCGAAAGGAGUUAAUCUGGAUCCUAUCCAUUACCAAGGGACACGAUUACACUUGGCUGCUGUGGAGGACCAAGAUCAGGUUGUAAUGGUUCUGCUGGAGCAUGGGGCUGAUCCCAAUAAAGAUGUUCAUCACGUAUUUUCAUACCUCAUGAUGACUGUCUGUGGGAAGUCCUUGAAAUGCAUGAGGCAACUUAUUGAGCAUGGAGCAAUACCUAUCGAGCUAGCAGCAGAUAGUGAUCGACACAAGCUUGUUCAAAUUCUAUUCCCUAGGACAAAACCAAUUAAAUCUCUGCCAGAUUGGAGUGUUGAUGGGAUAAUUAAAACUGUGAAUUCUCCAAAAAUCAAUGCUCCUCCGAUUGGUAAUGCAGGGUUAGAUGUUCCACGAGCUGCAGGCCAAACCAUGAAAGCAAUUAUGGAACUACUGAGAGUUUGUACUAUGUACCCGUUGCUGGUCUUUUUGCUUGCCAUCCUUCUAUUAUCUACUGGGGUGCAUUCCAUCAGACAUGAUACAAGUUUCAGUGAGGGCACUUGUCGAUAUGACAUGAUCAGUCUUGCAGUCCUCUCAUGCAUUCAACCGGACAAGCCAUGGAAGUCACCCUCAGUCUCAUGCUGCAAAGCACUGAUACAUGCAAUUGACGAGUUGCCGGCUAGCGGUGAGAAUGGAAAGUGUUGUUUAUGCCGUUUCAUGAGGGCAAAGCUUCAUUAUCCUGAAUUGGCAGCAACAUAUAUCUCUUGCCAUGGAAAGGACAGAGCUGUUGUUGCAAAAUGGUCGUUUCCUGUCGUGGUAUGCGGCAAAGCUUGUUCACGAAAAGAGAUUGCCCUCCUCGUAAGGGGACUGUCAUGGAGAGGCCUCCCUCAAAUUCACAUGGCAGCAAGAUCCUUUUUAUCUUGUUUGCAGCUCUCUUCAUCAUUCUGUUGA
rnacentral:rRNA from 1 species